rnacentral:rRNA from 1 species
UACGGGGGGGGCAAGCGUUGUUCGGAAUUACUGGGCGUAAAGGGCUCGUAGGCGGCCAACUAAGUCGGAUGUGAAAUCCCCAGGCUUAACCUGGGAACUGCAUCCGAUACUGGAUGGCUUGAAUCCGGGAGAGGGAUGCAGAAUUCCAGGUGUAGCGGUGAAAUGCGUAGAUAUCGCUUGGAACGCCGGCGGUGAAAACGGACAGCUGGGGGUGUGCUGACGCUGAGACACGAAAGCCAGGGGAGCGAACGGG